rnacentral:tRNA from 1 species
GCGGACAUAGUCUAGCGGUCAGGACUGAAGCUUCCCAAGCUUCGAACCCGGGUUCGAAUCCCGGUGUCCGCA